rnacentral:rRNA from 1 species
GAUGAACGCUAGCGGCAGGCUUAAUACAUGCAAGUCGAGGGACAGCACAGGUAGCAAUACUGGGUGGUAACCGGCAAACGGGUGCGGAACACGUACACAACCUUCCUUUAAGUGGGGGAUAGCCCAGAGAAAUUUGGAUUAAUACCCCGUAAUAUAGUUGAAUGGCAUCAUUUGAUUAUUAUAGCUACGGCGCUUAAUGAUGGGUGUGCGGCUGAUUAGAUAGUUGGCGGGGUAACGGCCCACCAAGUCUACGAUCAGUAGCUGAUGUGAGAGCAUGAUCAGCCAGACGGGCACUGAGACAAGGGCCCGACUCCUACGGGAGGCAGCAGUAAGGAAUAUUGGUCAAUGGACGCGAGUCUGAACCAGCCAUGCCGCGUGAAGGAUUAAGGUCCUCUGGAUUGUAAACUUCUUUUAUUUGGGACGAAAAAGGGCCUUUCUAGGUCAACUGACGGUACCAGAUGAAUAAGCACCGGCUAACUCCGUGCCAGCCGCCGCAGUAACAC